GGGUAAGGGAUGGAAAUGGAUUCAGAUUGAUGGAGCUCUCGUCCCGAUUCAUACUCGAAUGGAUUAGUACGUGGGAAUAACAAACAUAAAAAAGUUAAGUAAAUGUAACGGGAGGCAGUAAAUUCUUUUUUUACGUGAUUCGUCUCGAUUCGUUAAAAAUUUGCUCCCGCAGUUCCGCUCUAUCUAAUAGAGCGGUAAGUAGGGAUCAGGAUUAGGAGUAAAAUUAAUCUGCUUCGAAUUUGCCUAAACCCGACAAAUGAGGUGGGGAACCCCACUUUGUUAGGAUUUGGUUAGAUUUGCAGAUUAAUUAUAGUUGAAUUAGAAUUAAUAUUUAAAUCUGUUGGAGAUAAAUUAUGAUUUAAAUAUUAAUUAGAGAAUGAAUCCAACUAGAUUAGGAUAAAUAUUUAAAUCUAUUGGAGAUAAAUCAAUUAAGAUUUAAAUAUUUAUUGGAGUAGGAAUCCUAAAUAUAUUAGGAUUGGGUACAUUCUUGAUGGAGCAUUAUAUAUAAUGCAUUAGAGUCUCUUUUUGGGGUGAGUACGGCAGAGAGAAAAAAGUGCCCUUGGGGUGUCGUACCAGAGAGAGAAAGAGAGAGAGAGUUAUUUAGUGCACCUAGUGCACGGGUGCACAUAGAUGGGUUGUCUUUUAGGUUUAUAAAAGACGAGAGAAGGGUAGAAGAGAUUCAAGAAAGAGGGCUCGGGUUGUAGCUACUCUGUGCAGAAGAGGAGUCAG
rnacentral:lncRNA from 1 species